rnacentral:rRNA from 1 species
UACGUAGGGCGCAAGCGUUGUCCGGAAUUAUUGGGCGUAAAGAGCUCGUAGGCGGUUUGUCGCGUCUGCUGUGAAAGCCCGAGGCUCAACCUCGGGUCUGCAGUGGGUACGGGCAGACUGGAGUGCAGUAGGGGAGACUGGAAUUCCUGGUGUAGCGGUGAAAUGCGCAGAUAUCAGGAGGAACACCGAUGGCGAAGGCAGGUCUCUGGGCUGUAACUGACGCUGAGGAGCGAAAGCAUGGGGAGCGAACAGG